CUUAUAUUAUUACGGUGACUGCAUAAAUACCUCUUGUUCGUAUGGCAUUGAACGAAUACAAAAAAAGAGGGUGCUGCUGGCGCGCGACUGCUGCAGAAUUGCGAAUAAUAUCACAGCGGUGCAGGAUUUUGUGAUGGGUCUGCCACCAGUGAGAAAACUGUCAAAAACAAAGUGUCGAAACAAAGCAAAGGGCUUUACCCCGCUCCACUCAAGAUUAUAGAGUGUGUUCAGACAAGUGUUGAAAACGGUAACGCUGCUGGAUAUCAGACUGAAUCACAGGGCAGUAUCAUAAACACUUUGGUCCUGUCUCGUGUAUCUGUUUGGUUGGCUGUCUCUGCCCAUGUGUCGCGAAUGUGGUUGCCUUCCAGUUUGCUGCACGCUUGUUCUCUGCGCUCACGAGUCUUCAACGGAGGACUCCUCAUCUCUGCUCACGUGUCGGGAGAGUGAUUGCCAUCCAGUCUGCUGGGCGUUGUCCUCUGCACCUCACUACGCUUCAACGGAGGAUCCCUACGAAUCUGCUCCUGACUUCCACACCGCACACACUCGCCUACAAAUACACUAUUCACGGAUUUGCCCAAUGCACAGCCACAGCGCGAAUACAGUACAUCUUCAGACUCCUCCCUGCAACUGCAGCCGGUGCCGGGAUCCUCAGUCUUCGCCGGCACAGUGGAAAACUUUGGUAAGCUGGCUAUGUCGUCAGAGUCCAGGGCUCUGAUUGGUCUGUAUCAAGGUCAGAUGGCCUGCAAGAACCACUUUGGCCAGCCGGAGAGAGAAGUGAAGAAGUGAAGUGGGAAGCUGGCUGUCCUUUGUUUGGGGCCUAUGGGAGCAGGUAUCGCCCAGGUGACGAUAGACAAGGGUGUGGCCACCAUCCUAAAGGACACAACGCAGGAAGGACUUGCCAGAGGUCAACAAUUGAUUGAUAGAUAGACAGACAGACAGACAUGAUAGAUAGAUAGAUAGAUAGACAGACAUGAUAGAUAGAUAGAUUGAUAGAUAGAUAGAUAGACAGACAUGAUAGAUAGACAGAUAGAUAGAUAGAUAGAUAGAUAGAUAGAUAGAUAGAUAGAUAGACAGACAUGAUAGAUAGAUAGACAGACAUGAUAGAUAGAUAGAUAGAUAGAUAGAUAGACAGACAUGAUAGAUAGAUAGACAGACAUGAUAGAUAGAUAGAUAGAUAGAUAGAUAGAUAGAUAGAUAGAUAGAUACUCAGUCUGACAUUAACUGCAGGUCAUAGUAUGAAACAGCAGAGGGCGCUGCACUCCAGUGCAUGAGUGUGGAAAGAGACUAUUACAGUUGAGAGCCACUAGGUGUCAGUGCUGUACACCUUCUGUUUGUAAACACCCAUGAAAUUAGACUGUUUUUUUAAUUUUAUUUUUUUAUCCAUAAUAAUGAUGGAAGUUUUCUUUCUGUGAGGGUUUCCACAGUCUUGGAAAGCCUUGAAUUUUAAAUUCUAAAAUGAUUUCUAGCCCUGGAAAAGUCAUGGAAGUUAAUAUAAAUAUAUUUUAAAUAAAUAAUAGAAGUUAAUGGAAUCUUGAAAUCAUGGCAAUUUCCAUAGUAAAUAAAUAUAUUUUUCUAGUUAUGCUCAAAUCUAAAACAUUUUAAGAAAAGAUUUUUAAGGAUUCAUGUCCAGUAAUCACAAGUGACUGGGAAAAGGCGUGAAAAUGUGUUGGUCAAAAGGUGAGGGAACCCUGUAUAAUGCAGUUUUUUGUUAUAGGCAAAAAUAUUUGUUUUGACGGUUGUGAAUGUGUUUUAGACUUGAUAAAUACCUUUUAAAAACAAAAUAAAGAAGGGGUUUAUUUUGCGAUAAUGACCAGCUGACUGUACAUUUUCAAUUACGUUUUUAUGUGAAAAGAAAGAAAUCGCAGAGUCUCCAGAAACAGCUGAAUUCCACUUCUGAUUUGCACUGGAGUUCUGAUGAACCUGUUGGUGUUUAUUUUGUGAAAAUGACUGUCUGACUGCUCAUUAAACCACUAAUUACAAGACUUCUUGCCAAAUGGAUAAAUAAAUGCAGUGAAAUAUUUAUUAGAGCUGAAAUUAUUUUAUAAGCUUACUAAAGAUCGCAAAGUAAUAAGAGAAGUAAUAAAGACUUGCAAUACCCGGAUGACCGAUGAAAUAUCAUUGUAUACCCAGAUGUGUGGUUGUUGUUCAGAAAUAUCUGACCGCUAGAUGGUGUGAUUGACCAGUCAGAAUCAAGUAUUCCAGAGAGCUGUUUAAUAAUAUCAAAAUGUAUUAGAAAGUAAUAUAUCAAAUUCUAUAAUCUCUCUCAGGCUCAACGACAAAACCAAAAAGAAGUCUUAUGACUUUUGAGAGAAAUGCAAUUCUGUCCUCGUUGUCAGGACAGCUGGAGUAUCGUGGCUUUGAGACUGUGGACAUGGUUAUUGAAGCUGUGUUGGAAGACCUGUCAAUCAAACAUAAAGUGGUGAAGGAGGUGGAAGCUGAAAGUUAAGAUGUGUGCGUAUGUUUGCUGAGUGCAACAACCCUCCUGAUAUCUCUGUCCAUUUCUAUCCUCGUGUAUUAAAUGGUAUUAUUAUUUCUGCUUGUUAAACUCUUCAACGAAUGUUGUAUUUAUAGAUGUUUCCUGCAUUCUUGGUGGUCCUACAUAAAGAUUACACUUCUUCAUGA